rnacentral:rRNA from 1 species
UACGUAGGGUGCAAGCGUUAAUCGGAAUUACUGGGCGUAAAGCGUGCGCAGGCGGUUUUGUAAGUCUGACGUGAAAUCCCCGGGCUCCAACCUGGGAAUUGCGUUGGAGACUGCAAGGCUAGAAUCUGGCAGAGGGGGGUAGAAUUCCACGUGUAGCAGUGAAAUGCGUAGAGAUGUGGAGGAACACCGAUGGCGAAGGCAGCCCCCUGGGUCAAGAUUGACGCUCAUGCACGAAAGGCGUGGGGAGCAAAC